AGAGUUUGAUCAUGGCUCAGAACGAACGCUGGCGGCAUGCCUAACACAUGCAAGUCGAACGAAGGCUUCGGCCUUAGUGGCGCACGGGUGCGUAACGCGUGGGAAUCUGCCCUUGGGUUCGGAAUAACAGUGAGAAAUUACUGCUAAUACCGGAUGAUGACUUCGGUCCAAAGAUUUAUCGCCCAAGGAUGAGCCCGCGUAAGAUUAGCUAGUUGGUGAGGUAAAGGCUCACCAAGGCGACGAUCUUUAGCUGGUCUGAGAGGAUGAUCAGCCACACUGGGACUGAGACACGGUCCAGACUCCUACGGGAGGCAGCAGUGGGGAAUAUUGGACAAUGGGCGAAAGCCUGAUCCAGCAAUGCCGCGUGAGUGAUGAAGGCCUUAGGGUUGUAAAGCUCUUUUACCAGGGAUGACAAUGGCAGUACCUGGAGAAUAAGCUCCGGCUAACUCCGUGCCAGCAGCCGCGGUAAUACGGAGGGAGCUAGCGUUGUUCGGAAUUACUGGGCGUAAAGCGCACGUAGGCGGCCAUUCAAGUCAGAGGUGAAAGCCCGGGGCUCAACCCCGGAACUGCCUUUGAAACUAGAUGGCUUGAAUCUUGGAGAGGCGAGUGGAAUUCCGAGUGUAGAGGUGAAAUUCGUAGAUAUUCGGAAGAACACCAGUGGCGAAGGCGACUCGCUGGACAAGUAUUGACGCUGAGGUGCGAAAGCGUGGGGAGCAAACAGGAUUAGAUACCCCGGUAGUCC
rnacentral:rRNA from 1 species